UCGCCCAUUUUGUUGUUUGAUUAUUGAUUUUUAGCGAAGCCAUAGGAUCAUGUGACAAGAAGUGUAUCCA
rnacentral:antisense_RNA from 1 species